GUGGGGAUAGCUCAGUUAGGAGAGCGUUCAACUGAAGAUCUAAAGGUCGCGUGUUCAAUCCACACUCACCGCA
rnacentral:tRNA from 1 species